CUCAACAACUGGCGCCGUUUUCAAACAGCCUUUUCAUCCUUAUGAAGGGAAUUUUCCUCUGUUCCCUGAAUGACAUCUUAAGAAGCCCUUGAAGUUUAACAUGCCAGCUCUACAGAGAAAUUAUCCAAAUAACUUACAGCAACAUGAUCAAGACCAGGAAAAGACAGAAAAGACCUAAGCCAUUGAUAAAGAAAACAAAUGACCCAUGUUUUAGACAUUGCAUGCCAGCAGAGAAUCAACCAGAAAAAGACUUCACUGAGCAUUGUGGACAAGCUGGGCUGAGCUUUUACUUGAUCGCUGUUUGAUUAGUGUUCUGCCUUGGUAAACAAAUUUAAAUAAAUACAUAAUUGUUCUCUG